rnacentral:rRNA from 1 species
UACGUAUGGAGCAAGCGUUAUCCGGAUUUACUGGGUGUAAAGGGAGCGUAGGCGGCUCUGUAAGUCUGAUGUGAAAAUUUGGGGCUCAACCCCCAACGUGCAUUGGAAACUGCAGGGCUUGAGUGCCGGAGAGGCAGGCGGAAUUCCUAGUGUAGCGGUGAAAUGCGUAGAUAUUAGGAGGAACACCAGUGGCGAAGGCGGCCUGCUGGACGGUAACUGACGCUGAGGCUCGAAAGCGUGGGGAGCAAACAGG